AUACUUUGGCAGUACAUAUACUAAAAUUGGAACAAUACAGAGAAGAUUAGCAUGGCCCUGCACAAGGAUGACAUGCAAAUUCGUGAAGCAUUCCAUAUUUUA
rnacentral:snRNA from 1 species